AUAUGUAUGUGUGAACAGACAUAUGUGUGCAUGUGGAUGUGAGUAUAUAUACUAUGUGGAGAUUAACAGUGGCAGAAAUUAAACAUACAGCUAUA
rnacentral:miRNA from 1 species